UACGGAGGGUGCAAGCGUUAUCCGGAUUCACUGGGUUUAAAGGGUGCGUAGGUGGGCAGGUAAGUCAGUGGUGAAAUCUCCGGGCUUAACCCGGAAACUGCCGUUGAUACUAUCUGUCUUGAAUAUAGUGGAGGUGAGCGGAAUAUGUCAUGUAGCGGUGAAAUGCUUAGAUAUGACAUAGAACAUCGAUUGCGAAGGCAGCUCGCUACGCUAUUAUUGACGCUCAGGCGCGAUAGCGUGGGGAUCAAACAGG
rnacentral:rRNA from 1 species